rnacentral:misc_RNA from 1 species
UUUCCGUAGGUGAACCUGCGGAAGGAUCAUUGUCGAAACCUGCCCAGCAGAACGACCCGCGAACUUGUAUAAACAACCGGGGGCGGGGGGCGUUCUCGCCCCGUGCCCCCGAACGGCGGGGAGACACUCGUGCCUUCUUGCCGAACAACGAACCCCGGCGCGGUCUGCGCCAAGGAACUUCAACUAAAGAGUGCCUCCGGUCGCCUCGGAAACGGCGUGCGUGCCGGGGGCGAAUCUUGUGCAAAACCAUAACGACUCUCGGCAACGGAUAUCACGGCUCUC